rnacentral:rRNA from 1 species
GACGAACGCUGGCGGCGUGCCUAAUACAUGCAAGUAGAACGCUGAAGGAGGAGCUUGCUUCUCUGGAUGAGUUGCGAACGGGUGAGUAACGCGUAGGUAACCUGCCUGGUAGCGGGGGAUAACUAUUGGAAACGAUAGCUAAUACCGCAUAAGAGUAGAUGUUGCAUGACAUUUGCUUAAAAGGUGCAAUUGCAUCACUACCAGAUGGACCUGCGUUGUAUUAGCUAGUUGGUGGGGUAACGGCUCACCAAGGCGACGAUACAUAGCCGACCUGAGAGGGUGAUCCGCCACACUGGGACUGAGACACGGCCCAGACUCCUACGGGAGGCAGCAGUAGGGAAUCUUCGGCAAUGGACGGAAGUCUGACCGAGCAACGCCGCGUGAGUGAAGAAGGUUUUCGGAUCGUAAAGCUCUGUUGUAAGAGAAGAACGAGUGUGAGAGUGGAAAGUUCACACUGUGACGGUAUCUUACCAGAAAGGGACGGCUAACUACGUG